rnacentral:rRNA from 1 species
GGGUCAGUAGGUUGGUCGUGCCACCGGUACGUACUGGUCUCACUGAUUCCUCCUUCCUGAAUAACCGUAAUGCCAUUAAUGUGGUGUUGCGGGGAAACAGGACUGUUACUUUGAAAAAAUUAGAGUGUUUAAAGCAAGCUAACGCUUGAAUACAUUAGCAUGGAAUAAUGAAAUAGGACGAUCGAUCCAAUUUUGUUGGUUUCUAGGAUUGACGUA